GGCCGCGGNGAUUCGAUUGAGUUUGAUCCUGGCUCAGGAUAAACGCUGGCGGCGUACAUAAGACAUGCAAGUCGAACGAACUUAACUCAUUCUUUUAGAUUGAGAGCGGUUAGUGGCGGACUGGUGAGUAACACGUAGGUAACCUGCCCCGGAGCGGGGGAUAACAUUUGGAAACAGAUGCUAAUACCGCAUAACAACAAAAGCCACAUGGCUUUUGUUUGAAAGAUGGCUUUGGCUAUCACUCUGGGAUGGACCUGCGGUGCAUUAGCUAGUUGGUAAGGUAACGGCUUACCAAGGCGAUGAUGCAUAGCCGAGUUGAGAGACUGAUCGGCCACAAUGGAACUGAGACACGGUCCAUACUCCUACGGGAGGCAGCAGUAGGGAAUCUUCCACAAUGGGCGCAAGCCUGAUGGAGCAACACUGCGUGAGUGAAGAAGGGUUUCGGCUCGUAAAGCUCUGUUGUUGGAGAAGAACGUGCGUGAGAGUAACUGUUCACGCAGUGACGGUAUCCAACCAGAAAGUCACGGCUAACUACGUGCCAGCAGCCGCGGUAAUACGUAGGUGGCAAGCGUUAUCCGGAUUUAUUGGGCGUAAAGCGAGCGCAGGCGGUUGCUUAGGUCUGAUGUGAAAGCCUUCGGCUUAACCGAAGAAGUGCAUCGGAAACCGGGCGACUUGAGUGCAGAAAAGGACAGUGGAACUCCAUGUGUAACGGGUGGAAUGCGUAAAUAUAUGGAAGAAACACCAGUGGCGAAGGCGGCCUGUCU
rnacentral:rRNA from 1 species